GACAACUUUCAACUUCCAACGAAAGAACAAAGGACUUCCAGGAUGCAAACAUCUAAAGGUUAUCGUUCGGUUUUCUAUAAUGAACAAAAUCCAUGCAUUUUAGAAUAAAACUAAAGAUAACUAAAAUUAAAUAAGAAUUAAAAGAUUCAAAAAUGAGCAAAGAAACAACAAGCGGAUUUAUGGUAAGACAAUAAACGAAAUACACGACGAUCAACAACAACCAACAAUAACCACCGAGUUAUUCAUAAAUCGUUGGCUCUAAAAUUAAGGUUUAACGUUCCUAAUCAAAAUAAUUGAGAAAUAUAAUUCGGACGCCCAAAAUAUACAACAUGUCAUUUUAGAGACUGGCAAAAUCAUAACAAGAAACAAAAAGCACGAAAUAAACC
rnacentral:lncRNA from 1 species